rnacentral:rRNA from 1 species
UAGCUAGUUGGUAGGGUAAAGGCCUACCAAGGCGACGAUCGGUAGCUGGUCUGAGAGGAUGACCAGCCACACUGGAACUGAGACACGGUCCAGACUCCUACGGGAGGCAGCAGUGGGGAAUAUUGGACAAUGGGGGCAACCCUGAUCCAGCAAUGCCGCGUGUGAAGAAGGCCUGAGGGUUGUAAAGCACUUUCAGUGGGGAGGAGGAUAUUUUGGUUAAGAGCUGAGAUAUUGGACGUUACCUACAGAAGAAGCACCGGCUAACUCCGUGCCAGCAGCCGCGGUAAUACGGAGGGUGCGAGCGUUAAUCGGAAUUACUGGGCGUAAAGGGUGCGUAGGUGGUUAAUUAAGUUAGAUGUAAAAACCCUGGGCUUAACCUAGGACUGAGAUUUAAUACUGAUUAACUGGAGUAUGGGAGAGGGUAGUGGAAUUUCCGGUGUAGCGGUGAAAUGCGUAGAGAUCGGAAGGAACACCAGUGGCGAAGGCGGCUACCUGGCCUAAUACUGACACUGAAGCACGAAAGCGUGGGGAGCAAACAGGAUUAGAUACCCUGGUAGUCCACGCUGUAAACGAUGUCAACUAGCCGUUGGUCAUAUGAAAAUGAUAAGUGGCGC